rfam:Gossypium arboreum cultivar AKA8401 contig_4202_7, whole genome shotgun sequence.
AACCCAUGGUGAGGGCACCUUCUCAGUAAGUCUUUGUAUCUCUUCCAUGCAUCAUAAAGUGUUUCUAAGUUCAUCUGCAUAAAUGAAGAGAUAUCAUUGCGUAAUUU